UGAACGCUGGCGGCGUGCCUAAUACAUGCAAGUCGAGCGAACAGACGAGGAGCUUGCUCCUCUGACGUUAGCGGCGGACGGGUGAGUAACACGUGGAUAACCUACCUAUAAGACUAGGAUAACUUCGGGAAACCGGAGCUAAUACCGGAUAAUAUAUUGAACCGCAUGGUUCAAUAGUGAAAGACGGUUUUGCUGUCACUUAUAGAUGGAUCCGCGCCGCAUUAGCUAGUUGGUAAGGUAACGGCUUACCAAGGCAACGAUGCGUAGCCGACCUGAGAGGGUGAUCGGCCACACUGGAACUGAGACACGGUCCAGACUCCUACGGGAGGCAGCAGUAGGGAAUCUUCCGCAAUGGGCGAAAGCUUGACGGAGCAACGCCGCGUGAGUGAUGAAGGUCUUCGGAUCGUAAAACUCUGUUAUUAGGGAAGAACAAAUGUGUAAGUAACUAUGCACGUCUUGACGGUACCUAAUCAGAAAGCCACGGCUAACUACGUG
rnacentral:rRNA from 1 species